rnacentral:misc_RNA from 1 species
AUGAUAAAGAGAAAAAAAUAAACAAAGAAGAAAUAAAAAAGAAAAACAAAUAAAAUAUAACUUUUUAUUAUAAGUAAAAUUAUCAUAAAUAAAGAAAAACAAUGAAGGAAAGAAACAAACAAAAGAGGUAACUAUAUAUAAAAGAAAAGAAUAAAACAUAUCCUAAAGGUUGUGAUUCAACCCUAGCAAUCACCUCCUUUGUUCUAGCCAUGGUCUCUAGGUCCCAAA